rnacentral:rRNA from 1 species
UGGGGGGAACCCUGAUCCAGCAAUGCCGCGUGUGUGAAGAAGGCCUGCGGGUUGUAAAGCACUUUCAGUAGGGAGGAGUCUUGGUUGGUUAAGAGCUAAUUAAGAGGACGUUACCUACAGAAGCAGCACCGGCUAACUCCGUGCCAGCAGCCGCGGUAAUACGGAGGGUGCAAGCGUUAAUCGGAAUUACUGGGCGUAAAGGGUGCGUAGGUUGUUGUAUAAGUUAGUUGUGAAAUACCAGUGCUUAACAUUGGGGCGUCAACUAGUACUGUAUGACUUGAGUAAAGUAGAGGGUGGUGGAAUUUCCGGUGUAGCGGUGAAAUGCGUAGAGAUCGGAAGGAAUACCGGUGGCGAAGGCGACCACCUGGACUAUUACUGACACUGAGGCACGAAAGCGUGGGUAGCAAACAGGAUUAGAUACCCUGGUAGUCCACGCUGUAAACGAUGUCAACUAGCUGUUUGGUAUAUAGAGAUACUGAGUAGCGCAGCCCACGCGAUAAGUUGACCGCCUGGGGAGUACGGUCGCAAGAUUAAAACUCAAGGAAUUGACGGGG